UGUUACAUGAUAGCAAUUAUCAUGUAUAUUUUAUAACAUUUUAUAUUAUACAUUAAUACAUUUUACUAUAUAUAUUAUAUAUCAUAGUUUAGUUAUAUUAUAUUUACUCUAAAGAAUUUACCUAUGGGAAAUUGUUUUACGCAUGGGAAGUUCUUUUAGCUUGGUCACGCAUGAGCAAGCAAAUAUUUUAGUUUAUUACGUUACCACAAGUGCGUAAUGGACGGGAACGGUUACCGCAAGAAGAUUGUAAGAAUCUUCCCAAGUAAUGACACUGCAAGUUUAAAAGUUCCUCUCUGAACAAUAUAUAAGGGAGAGCACAACUCUAUGCAUGAUUCAUAGUAGGCCUCCGUGCCUUACAUGUUUCAUUCAUAGGCCUCCGUGCCUUACUUCAUUCAAUAGGCCUCAGCGCCUCAGUUACAUUAUUCAUAGGCCUCAGCGCCUUACGUGAAUAUCAUUUUGGAAAAGCUAUUAUAAAGAAGAUUGUUAAGGAAAGAUUGUUACAAGUUAUAUACGAA